UGGGGAAUAUUGGACAAUGGGCGCAAGCCUGAUCCAGCAAUGCCGCGUGGGUGAAGAAGGUUUUCGGAUUGUAAAGCCCUUUCGGCGGGGACGAUGAUGACGGUACCCGCAGAAGAAGCUCCGGCUAACUUCGUGCCAGCAGCCGCGGUAAUACGAAGGGGGCUAGCGUUGCUCGGAAUGACUGGGCGUAAAGGGCGCGUAGGCGGUUUGCACAGUCAGAUGUGAAAUUCCUGGGCUUAACCUGGGGGCUGCAUUUGAUACGUGUGGGCUUGAGUGGGGAAGAGGGUCGUGGAAUUCCCAGUGUAGAGGUGAAAUUCGUAGAUAUUGGGAAGAACACCGGUGGCGAAGGCGGCGACCUGGUCCUUGACUGACGCUGAGGCGCGAAAGCGUGGGGAGCAAACA
rnacentral:rRNA from 1 species